rnacentral:snRNA from 1 species
UGUUCAACACCAAUUGCAUCCG